CACGAACGCUGGCGGCAGGCUUAACACAUGCAAGUCGAGCGCCCCGCAAGGGGAGCGGCAGACGGGUGAGUAACGCGUGGGAAUCUACCCAUCUCUACGGAAUAACGCAUGGAGACGUGUGCUAAUACCGUAUACGUCCUUCGGGAGAAAGAUUUAUCGGAGAUGGAUGAGCCCGCGUUGGAUUAGCUAGUUGGUGGGGUAAAGGCCUACCAAGGCGACGAUCCAUAGCUGGUCUGAGAGGAUGAUCAGCCACACUGGGACUGAGACACGGCCCAGACUCCUACGGGAGGCAGCAGUGGGGAAUAUUGGACAAUGGGCGCAAGCCUGAUCCAGCCAUGCCGCGUGAGUGAUGAAGGCCUUAGGGUUGUAAAGCUCUUUUGUCCGGGACGAUAAUGACGGUACCGGAAGAAUAAGCCCCGGCUAACUUCGUGCCAGCAGCCGCCGUAAAAC
rnacentral:rRNA from 1 species